CAAAAAUGGACUCUGAUGAAUCUGUCAGGAGGUCUAAGAGAACCCACCAGCCAACACGACGACUUGAGUACCCCGAGCUGGGCAAUCCUCUGAUCACAGCAGUAAAAUCUUUUUUUCAAGGGCUGUCAACACCUUGGAGUGAUUUCAUCACCGAUUCUGCAGAGUCAGAUCAUAUCUCUGUAUUUUCGUUUGAGUAAUUACCCAUUAACUGCGCCAUGCACAGGGACGUGCAUGAGUUCAGGAGGGGAGGAUGUAGCCCAGGUGUUAAAUAACACAAGCUGAUGAAAGAGAGUUUUUUUUCUUUAUUUAAUUUAAUUUAUUUUACUGCGCUGGCAAAAUUUUAUUUUCCUACUGCACUUAAAGGCAUCACCCAGUUCAUUGAAUCCCACAUGAGGUGUCACAACCGCAACAGCCAAUCAGGGGCCACUUCACCCCUGCUCAGCCGUCAGCUCUAGCAAUGAGGCCCUGACGGUCUUCUCCUUCCGGUCUUUUUAACUUCAACCGCGAGAGCGAGACACAGCUAUCUACUGCGAGAGCGCUGGAGAGGAGAAAAUUUCCGUGUACAAAUAAGAAAAGGGGAAAAAAAACGAAUCGCCUUAUCAGCCGUGAGUCUGGAGCAGAGCGACAAGGCGAAUCACGUCGGUAAGAAAGGCCUGUGAAAAGAAGGAACGCUCGUUAAUACUUACCCUGCUCAACCGUGCUAAUGUUAGCUCGGUCCUUCACAGGUUAGCUUGUUACUGCAUCUUGUGAGCUGCGGAAAGCGCCAAAAUCAACACGCUCAGCUUUGAAACCGGAGCAACGGUCAGGUUUUUGGAGUGGACUACAAAUCCUGUGGACUGGACGAGAUCCCGAUGGCGAGCCAAAGGACCUUGGAAGAGAGAUAAACAUUAGAACACUCCCACAUACAUUCACUUCGAACUAUCAGACUUAAACCAGGUGCACCUGCAACAAUUCAUAAGGGCCCCAACGACCAACCCUCAGACAAUUCUUUCCUGUGUGCACACAUUUUUUACUUUUUCCUUUUCUCCGGGGGGGGGGGGGGGGGGGGGUUAUUAAAUUGUAUGUUUUACUUGUUGGCCUGUAGGCCUAGUUCUGUAAACAAUACAUGAGUCACUACUCAACAGUUAA